rnacentral:sRNA from 1 species
CUUCGUCGAUCUGCUGCGGACAGAUGAAAUGGAUAUGCGUAUCGAACGCGCCUGCGGUAACGAUCUUGCCCUCGCCCGCAAUCACCUCCGUACCCGGCCCGAUGACGAUGUCGACGCCCGGCUGAACAUCAGGAUUACCGGCCUUACCGAUGCCCGCAAUCAAUCCGUCCUUCAGACCGAUAUCGGCCUUGACGAUUCCCCAGUGGUCGAUGAUCAGCGCAUUCGUGAUCACCGUAUCGACGGCGCCCUGUGAGCGGGACACCUGCGACUGCCCCAUGCCGUCGCGAAUG